UCUUUCCCUUCUUCUUUGCACGUUGUUUGUUUAAAAAAAAAAAAAUUCUAUCGAUCAUCUCCUUUCUUUUUUUUUUUUUAACCCUCACUUCCAACCUACCCUCGCGCGUAUACACAAAUUUUCACGUACAAAUGACGAUUUAAAAAAAAAAAAAAAAAAAAAAAGAAUUAAAAAAAGCAAAAACAGAAAUAUAAGAAAGUAAAAAAAAAAAAAGAUUGUUACGAAUUUAAACGGAGGAUUAGCAGCGAUCGGACGAUUUUAAUCGAUAAAUGAUUCAGAUUUAAUAUUGAUUUAAUAUUUAAUAACGGAUUUGUUUUUUUUUUUUCUUUUUUUUUUUUUAAUAAAGGAAGAAAAAGAGAGAUUAUGAAACGAUAGACCAUUGUAAAUCAUAAUACGAUUUUCCAACGAUCGGAAUUCCGUGGGAACGUUUCAUUUCUUUAUUUCGUUAUAUCGUUAAUGAUUUUUAAUCGAAACGACGUUACACCAUUUUAUAUAUAUAUAUGUAUAUGUUUGAUACGAUGGCAAACGUAUGUACACUCUCUCGAUCUAUCUAUCCGUGAUGAUCGAAUUUAUUUUAACGAGAACAGCAAAAAAAAGAAAAAAAGAAAAGAAGAUUUAUUAAUUCGGAUUUAAUAUAAAAUUUGUUUCCACAACCCUUCUAUCCGUUUCACUUCGUUUAAUAUGUAUUCUCGGAUUUCGAAAUGCAAUGUUUAGAAAUUCACGAUAUUGUAUCGACAAAUUAUCGUAAUAUACAGAAAGAGAGAUAAAGAUAGAGAUAGAGAUGAAGAUGGAGAGAGAGAGAGAGAGAGAGAGAGAGAGAGAGAGAGAGAGAGAGAGAGAGAGAGAGAGAGAGAGAGAGAGAGAGAGAGAGA